ACAGGUGUUCCUUGGCGAGCCUCCUGGGAGGGCGCCCCACCCACCCUGCCUUUUCCUGCAGGGGGGACUGCAGCUCAUGGACUGGCAUGUUCCAUUCCUGUUCAGGAUUGUCUGAGGUGGUGUGGAGUCACCAGGAAGCUGAUGAGGAAUGAGAUCCAGGGAAUGUUCAUCACCCCCAAAAGAAAGCCUGUGUCCAGUGAGCAGAAACUAUCUAUGCACCCCGCUCCAAAACUCCUGGUGUCCACAAAUCUACCUUCUGUCUCUGUGGAUUUGCCUAUUCUGGACAUUUCAUGAAAGUAAAUCUUUCUUGGAAGCUCUCCCAGGAAGACUUUCUCUCAGAUUCCAUUACCCCGUCCUACUAUAAGGAGACUGGGAAAGUGACCGACAUUUCAUUCUCUAUCCUCUCAAACUGAUCCUCCCACUGACAGAUGAAGGGGAGUUCUCACAAUUGUCACCAACGGCAUCUAUGUCCUUGGGCAUGCCUCCCAGAAGAGAAAGAAGCACCUCUAGUGGGAAGAGGCCAGGAGUGCUACCAAAUGUCCUGCACACAACAGCCCCACCACCAAGAAUGACCUGGUGCAAGCUGUGUUUGACAAAGGCUGGUCUAGAAGAUCCUUCCAACAGGGAGGCUGGCUGAGAAAGAUCAAGCCUCAGCACUCAAGGCUGACCCCAGGCACCUCACAGCAGAAGGCAGAGCCCAAUAAGAAAAGUCGCAGCCGUAAGUAGGGCACUGGCCUGGGCUUUGUUGUCUGCUAAAGACAUCCGCUGCCCCCAGCGCUUUGUGCCUUUGGAUCUGGCUGCUGCUCCAUUGAGGCGGCAGCCUGUGAUCUCCUCCUUUUGCUGGAGCUCAAGCAGAACAAGGACGGAGUCUCAUUUGUCUGUCUGAGAUGGAGACUUUCAGAGCUUGGAAAAAUGAAGUGACAAAAGAAGCCAGCCAGCAAUUAGGUAAUGCCAGCCUGCCUGCCAGGCACCCAGCAAGGAGCCUGUCCUGGAGCUCACUGGUGGUGACACGUGGCCAGUGAUACCAGUCCCUUCCUUUUCUGGUGUGGCUCCAGGAAGUGUCUCCAGGACAGCAGCUUGCACACCCAGGAUCCCUAGCCAUCCAGUCCCUCCUCUAUCAAUCCCUGAGAGCUGGGAAGCCCUCCGCAGCCCUCAGAGGUGCCGAGGGACCCUCCCACACAGCUGCCUCCUCCCCCAGCUUCCCUCUCAGAUCCUCUACUGCAGAUGAACAAAUACAUUGCUUAUUCAGCUCUGAAUUUUCUCCCACAUUAUUCCUCCUAUCAAAAAAUCUUUACCAAAGCUCUGGAUGUCUUCUCUAAGUACCCACAUCCCCUUUCUACAACCAGGCAUUUGUUUUGGGGGGUUGGGUUUCUUUUCAGCCCAUGAAUUCUCUGGUUGUGAGUUUAAGUUCUGGCUUCACUAUUUGCUGACUGUGUGGGAAAGUCACUUAACCUCUCUAAACCUUAAUUAUCUUGUCACACAAUAAGUUAUAGACAUGUUUCCCCCAUCUGUUGUCUCAGCACCUUCAGAAUAGACCUUUAGCCAAGGAAUCAUAGAAAGUCUUGUUUUCCAAAUAAAGAAACAGAGAAGUUACACUCCUGCUCUGGAACACACAGCGAGGGGCAGCACUAAACUCAAAAUCCCCCCUCAUUCUACAGGAUCAGCAUGGGUAAGAAUCUUCUUUCGGUUUGCUUCUCAGAGCUGUUGUGAAGCUCAAAGGGC